UUUGUUUAUCAAUUCAACGUAUUACUAUUAACACGUGUUGAAGUGUAGAAAUGAGAGCUUGAAGUUCGUACUGUACUUACAACUUCAAUCAUGGAGAUGGAUUGGGCUAUAUUCAAGGAUUGUAUUUUUAUUUUUUUUUGAUAUCCAGGUAUUACAGCUUACACCAGACUAAAUCCUGAACCUUCAAGACCCAUGACCCAAGAACCUUGGAGGGGGUAAAUCGCGGGUUAUGCCUCAACUGGAUCACAGGUUCUCUCCAUUGAUUGUACACUUCUGCGCACAAGAGACCCUCCUCUACAAUGAUUGCUCCAUACCUAAUAUUUGGCCACAGGUUUCCACCAGGAAUCGAACUCUCCACCCUGCCGCUGGAAGCAAGUCAAUGUUGAUUGAUCCACCAGUUGAACUGUGCCCCGGGGGGCUCAAGGAUUGUAUUUUUAAUUCUAGAGAAGAUGGUCCAAUCAUCGAUGCGCGUCUUGAUGGGUAUGAGGUAGGCAAAUUUAUAGUUCUAUUUUGUAUUAUACAUGCAAUAAAAUUGUAUUAAUUUUGAUUUUUCUUAUCUAUUUACGAGUAUUUUCAUAUUGCACAAAUGUAUCCAUCCUGUGCAUCACUUCCACAACAAGUGAAGAGAAAUUCACUACAGGUGCUUGUUAAUGAUGCUUGUCUAUUUCUAGUUAUAUUUAGUAUUUUUUGUGCGGAAUGAAAUAAGAUGUUUAAAGUGGAAGGUAAACACAUUUUGAGUGGGCACGACCCUACCAUCUGAAGAAUGGGACAUAAGAGUUCAGGUAGGAGACAGAUGUUAGGAUAAGAACGAAAUGGAUAGAGUGGUUGGUAGAAGGGAUUGAGGGAUUGGUGAAUAGGACGAAGAAAGUGCUCAAGGGAGUUGAGGGUUUCGCAAAUGAGACAGAAAAGAUGCCCAAGGUAACGAAACAUAGAAGUGAAAGGUUGAGUUCACAGUGUCGGAGGUGUUGGUUAAGAGAUCGAGAAUAUCAUUUCAAGACAUAAGUUUUCCAUUUACAAUCAGAACAGAGAUGAGAACAUUCAUGAACGACAUAAUGGUCAAUCUCUUCC
rnacentral:lncRNA from 1 species